UUAAGCGACUAAGCGUACACGGUGGAUGCCCUGGCAGUCAGAGGCGAUGAAGGACGUGCUAAUCUGCGAUAAGCGUCGGUAAGGUGAUAUGAACCGUUAUAACCGGCGAUUUCCGAAUGGGGAAACCCAGUGUGUUUCGACACACUAUCAUUAACUGAAUCCAUAGGUUAAUGAGGCGAACCGGGGGAACUGAAACAUCUAAGUACCCCGAGGAAAAGAAAUCAACCGAGAUUCCCCCAGUAGCGGCGAGCGAACGGGGAGCAGCCCAGAGCCUGAAUCAGUGUGUGUGUUAGUGGAAGCGUCUGGAAAGGCGCGCGAUACAGGGUGACAGCCCCGUACACAAAAAUGCACAUACUGUGAGCUCGAUGAGUAGGGCGGGACACGUGGUAUCCUGUCUGAAUAUGGGGGGACCAUCCUCCAAGGCUAAAUACUCCUGACUGACCGAUAGUGAACCAGUACCGUGAGGGAAAGGCGAAAAGAACCCCGGCGAGGGGAGUGAAAAAGAACCUGAAACCGUGUACGUACAAGCAGUGGGAGCCUCUUAAUGGGGUGACUGCGUACCUUUUGUAUAAUGGGUCAGCGACUUAUAUUCUGUAGCAAGGUUAACCGAAUAGGGGAGCCGAAGGGAAACCGAGUCUUAACUGGGCGUUAAGUUGCAGGGUAUAGACCCGAAACCCGGUGAUCUAGCCAUGGGCAGGUUGAAGGUUGGGUAACACUAACUGGAGGACCGAACCGACUAAUGUUGAAAAAUUAGCGGAUGACUUGUGGCUGGGGGUGAAAGGCCAAUCAAACCGGGAGAUAGCUGGUUCUCCCCGAAAGCUAUUUAGGUAGCGCCUCGUGAAUUCAUCUCCGGGGGUAGAGCACUGUUUCGGCAAGGGGGUCAUCCCGACUUACCAACCCGAUGCAAACUGCGAAUACCGGAGAAUGUUAUCACGGGAGACACACGGCGGGUGCUAACGUCCGUCGUGAAGAGGGAAACAACCCAGACCGCCAGCUAAGGUCCCAAAGUCAUGGUUAAGUGGGAAACGAUGUGGGAAGGCCCAGACAGCCAGGAUGUUGGCUUAGAAGCAGCCAUCAUUUAAAGAAAGCGUAAUAGCUCACUGGUCGAGUCGGCCUGCGCGGAAGAUGUAACGGGGCUAAACCAUGCACCGAAGCUGCGGCAGCGACGUUUAUGCGUUGUUGGGUAGGGGAGCGUUCUGUAAGCCUGCGAAGGUGUACUGUGAGGUAUGCUGGAGGUAUCAGAAGUGCGAAUGCUGACAUAAGUAACGAUAAAGCGGGUGAAAAGCCCGCUCGCCGGAAGACCAAGGGUUCCUGUCCAACGUUAAUCGGGGCAGGGUGAGUCGACCCCUAAGGCGAGGCCGAAAGGCGUAGUCGAUGGGAAACAGGUUAAUAUUCCUGUACUUGGUGUUACUGCGAAGGGGGGACGGAGAAGGCUAUGUUGGCCGGGCGACGGUUGUCCCGGUUUAAGCGUGUAGGCUGGUUUUCCAGGCAAAUCCGGAAAAUCAAGGCUGAGGCGUGAUGACGAGGCACUACGGUGCUGAAGCAACAAAUGCCCUGCUUCCAGGAAAAGCCUCUAAGCAUCAGGUAACAUCAAAUCGUACCCCAAACCGACACAGGUGGUCAGGUAGAGAAUACCAAGGCGCUUGAGAGAACUCGGGUGAAGGAACUAGGCAAAAUGGUGCCGUAACUUCGGGAGAAGGCACGCUGAUAUGUAGGUGAAGCGACUUGCUCGUGGAGCUGAAAUCAGUCGAAGAUACCAGCUGGCUGCAACUGUUUAUUAAAAACACAGCACUGUGCAAACACGAAAGUGGACGUAUACGGUGUGACGCCUGCCCGGUGCCGGAAGGUUAAUUGAUGGGGUUAGCGGUAACGCGAAGCUCUUGAUCGAAGCCCCGGUAAACGGCGGCCGUAACUAUAACGGUCCUAAGGUAGCGAAAUUCCUUGUCGGGUAAGUUCCGACCUGCACGAAUGGCGUAAUGAUGGCCAGGCUGUCUCCACCCGAGACUCAGUGAAAUUGAACUCGCUGUGAAGAUGCAGUGUACCCGCGGCAAGACGGAAAGACCCCGUGAACCUUUACUAUAGCUUGACACUGAACAUUGAGCCUUGAUGUGUAGGAUAGGUGGGAGGCUUUGAAGUGUGGACGCCAGUCUGCAUGGAGCCGGCCUUGAAAUACCACCCUUUAAUGUUUGAUGUUCUAACGUUGGCCCCUGAUCGGGGUUGCGGACAGUGUCUGGUGGGUAGUUUGACUGGGGCGGUCUCCUCCUAAAGAGUAACGGAGGAGCACGAAGGUUGGCUAAUCCUGGUCGGACAUCAGGAGGUUAGUGCAAUGGCAUAAGCCAGCUUGACUGCGAGCGUGACGGCGCGAGCAGGUGCGAAAGCAGGUCAUAGUGAUCCGGUGGUUCUGAAUGGAAGGGCCAUCGCUCAACGGAUAAAAGGUACUCCGGGGAUAACAGGCUGAUACCGCCCAAGAGUUCAUAUCGACGGCGGUGUUUGGCACCUCGAUGUCGGCUCAUCACAUCCUGGGGCUGAAGUAGGUCCCAAGGGUAUGGCUGUUCGCCAUUUAAAGUGGUACGCGAGCUGGGUUUAGAACGUCGUGAGACAGUUCGGUCCCUAUCUGCCGUGGGCGCUGGAGAACUGAGGGGGGCUGCUCCUAGUACGAGAGGACCGGAGUGGACGCAUCACUGGUGUUCGGGUUGUCAUGCCAAUGGCACUGCCCGGUAGCUAAAUGCGGAAGAGAUAAGUGCUGAAAGCAUCUAAGCACGAAACUUGCCCCGAGAUGAGUUCUCCCUGACUCUUUAAGGGUCCUGAAGGAACGUUGAAGACGACGACGUUGAUAGGCCGGGUGUGUAAGCGCAGCGAUGCGUUGAGCUAACCGGUACUAAUGAACCGUGAGGCUUAACCUU
rnacentral:rRNA from 1 species